rnacentral:misc_RNA from 1 species
AACGCACCUUGCACUCCUUAGUAUUCUGAGGAGUAUGCCUGUUUGAGUGUCUGUUAAUCAUCAAUUCAUCUUUACUUUGUUGUGAAGUUGAAUUGGAUUUGGGGAUUGCUGGCUCUGUAAUGAGUUGGCUUCCCUUGAAUUCAUUAGUUGAACUGAGAUUACAAUGCUAAGUGUAGUGUGAUAAUAUCUUCACUGCAUAGUUGUAGUUGAAGCUUGGCUUCUAACAGUCUGUAAUGGACAAUUCUUUGACCAUUAGACCUCAAAUCAGGUAGGACUACCCGCUGAACUUAA